CCUGCUUCUAGAGGCCUUGCAGAUGUGGCAGCUGUUUCACAUGUGUGUCAGUAGGUAGCAGAAAGGAAAGAAGCUAUGUCUAAGUUUAGUGCUCUGACCCAGGAGCAUCUGAAUGAUUAGUGGCCUAUCACU